GUAUUGUUCUCAGUGAAAAAUUUCUAUUCUUUGUGAUAAAAAUCAAAUGUACUAAUCAAAAGCUUCAAAAUAGUAUAAAAGAAUUGAAGUCUUAGUGACUUUGAUUUCCCUUGCUAUCUUCAGUAUAGGGAAAACGGUACUAUUUAUUCUGCCAUAGGCGACAAUAUUAACAUUUUCUAAAUUUACAACUUUUUAAGAUAAAAACCUGGAUAAAACAGUUAUAUGUUGUGUUAGUACUUUAUUAUUGUGUUUUAAAAAUUAAAGCCAAAUAGUAUCAUGACCAACUUCCAACGGAGCUUGUUUAUGUUAUCCAUGCCCACCGUCAUUUUGCACCAAAUUUAUGAAAUUUUGCAAGUCUUUUCAAAUAAUUCUCUAGAAAAUAUUUCAAUAGGUUUCAAAAUUUAUGUUGUAAAUAUAUACACUGCAGUUAUUCAUAGAUAAAUAAAAAAUAUAUUGUACCCUUACAUCCAAUCACAGCGCUCCUAAUUUGACUUCCUUCACCUGCCUUGGGUACACAAAAGGCCAACCUAAUGCUGGGAAAAUUAAAUACUACCGUUUUCCCU
rnacentral:lncRNA from 1 species